rnacentral:rRNA from 1 species
GAUGAACGCUGGCGGCGUGCCUAAUACAUGCAAGUCGAGCGAAUGGAUUAAGAGCUCGCUCUUAUGAAGUUAGCGGCGGACGGGUGAGUAACACGUGGGUAACCUGCCCAUAAGACUGGGAUAACUCCGGGAAACCGGGGCUAAUACCGGAUAACAUUUUGAACAGAAUGGUUCGAAAUUGAAUGGCGGCUUCGGCUGUCACUUAUGGAUGGAACCUCGUCGCAUUAUCUAGUUGUUGAGGUAACGGCUCACCAAGGCAACGAUGCUGAGCCGACCUGGGAGGGUGAUCGGCCACACUGGGACGGAGACACGGCCCAGACUCCUACGGGAGGCAGCAGUAGGGAAUCUUCCGCAAUGGACGAAAGUCUGACGGAGCAACGCCGCGUGAGUGAUGAAGGCUUUCGGGUCGUAAAACUCUGUUGUUAGGGAAGAACAAGUGCUAGUUGAAUAAGCUGGCACCUUGACGGUACCUAACCAGAAAGCCACGGCUAACUACGUGCCAGCCGCCGCGGUAA